AUAACUGAUAAGAUGAGAAGUAGAAUGAUUUGGUAACGCAAUGAAAUGCUUCCUCUAAACACUGUGACGUGCGUAACAAUAAGGUAGUUUAUUGUUAGGUGCGAGAGCUCACUAAAGUCGGCAGAAAGUUGCCCUAGUUCAGAAAUGAAAGGAAAGGUCUGUAGAGGUAUAGGCUGUAAUUGAUAUGCCGGGAGUCUAUAAA
rnacentral:ncRNA from 1 species